AUUUCAUACACCGAUUAUGACAGAUUACAUAUGUAAUAAUAAGGAAAAAGUUAAUUGUGAGGAUAUGAAAAUAAUCAAAAACAUGCACAAAACGUAAAGGUUGUUCAGUGUUUAUUCUGUAUCACUUCGCUAUUAUAAUGUUGUACAUUUUUCUUUGUUCAUUUAAAUGUUUUAUUUGAAAUACCACACCCGUAACCGUUUAUUUCUAUAACGGACAUUUCUUAUGGUCCCGUAACUGUCCGUUACAUAGAGAUUUCACUCUGUAUAUAUGCAUGUACACAAUAAUUAAACAUUGCUAACGAAAAACUAUACUAAGCAGAGUUCAGUUCAAAAUUUUUUGAAAGGCCGUAAUAUUUACAAUUUUCGUCAAAAAAAAAUUAAAAAAAAUACUACAUUAAAUUCAAC